CUCUUCUCGCCCUUUUUCUUCGAUGGAAACUUCUUCUUCUCCCCUCUCUCCUUCUUCUUUUGAAUUCGAAGAGAGAGAGAGAAUAAAGAUCAAGAAAGAAGAGAAAAGAAAAGAA
rnacentral:ribozyme from 13 species